AGCGUAGACGGUGUGGCAAGUCUGAUGUGAAAGGCAUGGGCUCAACCUGUGGACCGCAUUGGAAACUGUCAUACUUGAGUGCCGGAGGGGUAAGCGGAAUUCCUAGUGUAGCGGUGAAAUGCGUAGAUAUUAGGAGGAACACCAGUGGCGAAGGCGGCUUACUGGACGGUAACUGACGUUGAGGCUCGAAAGCGUGGGGAGCAAACA
rnacentral:rRNA from 1 species